ensembl:lncRNA TEX41 testis expressed 41
AGACCUAUGAAGGUCGAAGGGGAAGAAAAGCUGUAUCGAUUGUUGAGAUCUGGCGACUUGUUUAAAUUUCAUCAGCCUCACUUCUAUGAACUCUCAGGACAAACUGCAACAGAGUCACAUCGAGUUGAGACUUCUCCAAGGGCCAUGGGGUUGACAUCUGUAUUCUCAGGGUCCUCGUAAGAACUUCCAUUUUAUGUUCUUGUCUUCUCAUCAGUUUGAGUUGUGUCUUUAACAUUGGAGAGAAAAACAACUUGCAAGAUUUUCUUUCAGUAUGAACCAUUCUGAGGUCCUUCAAUUCUUUAGCUGAUUACCAACUCCUACCACUGUUAACCCUCAUCCAGGAACAAGCUUAUGUCUUUAACAUUCUGAGUGGGCUUCAGCAUCCUUGCAUAUGUUCAAUUCUUAAAAACCUGUUGAAAUAAAAGAUCAGGAGACAUAGGAAGGAUGCCAGAAGAGAGCGUGGCCUCACGUGUACCAGCUCUCUGCUCUCCUUUGCCUUGGGACGUUCCAUCCCUGGAAGUUUCCCUGCCCACAUCUUUGUAGAGAGUCCAUUCUCCAAGCUUCAGUGUGUCAUCUGUGAGGACCGUGACCCACCUGGUACAUCGCCUCAGGGCAUUCAUUUCAGGCUCCUUCUAAAUGGCCAAGUUUUGAAAUGGAAUUGCCAGCAUGCUAAAGAUACACCAUUCAGUUCUCAUCCCACUUUGCAUAGCUUGGAAUCUAUGAUCCUGCAAAUAUCUUUUAACUGCAUUUUGGAUCAGAGGGAAACAGACCAUUUUCUAUUGUGACAAAGAGAGAACCCAGGAAAGGGGCAGUGUUUUUCCCCUCACAGGUGAUGGAGUUUUUAUAAAGAAUGCAGCGGAUAAUGGCAGGCUUGUCCUCUGAACAGAUGGUGAUGGUCUUGUUGCUAGGAUGAGGCCUCAAGAAUUUAGUUUUUAAUUCCACAUUAUUUGCCUCAGUGCCAUGAAUAUCCCUAGGUUUCCUGAGGCAAAAAUACAGAAAAAAAAUCCACAGAAAGAGUGACACACAGAGAGAGAAAGAGCAAGAGAUGGGGCAACUGAGCAGAGACUGGAGCCCGGUCAAGAGAGGCUUUGGGGAAAAUGCCUGCUCAGCUGUCUGCAAUCACCUGGGUUUAAAGCAGGCAGGAAGGAAGAUUGGUUUGGCAGGAGAACUGGCCCUUUGAUGCCUUCGAUACCACAGAGAAAAAUUCCCAUUUCUUCCCAUUAGAAGUCUGUUUACUUUCCUAAUUAAGAUAAACAUGUUUCUGAAGGAGUUAGCUCUUAUAGCAUGACAUUUAUAAAAUCAACUAUAUAUACACACAAGAAUGUUUGCCAGGAAUUUGGGCUGAUGGUGAUUGUAUGAAGCAUUUUAUAGAAAUAUUUUUAAAUAGUUGCCUUAUUUAAAAAUGAGCGACUUUCAUUCCCUCCAGUCAAUUAAAUAUCUAAUUUCAACUCUCGGAGAUAAUAACUGAAGUAGUUUUUUUAAUAAAUGAAUGAACAGUUAGAAAACUGUUAAACACAUAGCCCUGAAGCAUGAAAAAUAUAUUCGUUGAACAGCUUUAUUCUUUUAUUGUUAAUUUACUUCAGAGAAUAUCCACUCGUGUAAUUUUCAAUAAAGUACUCUUAUUUUGAA